GAACAAAAGAAGUAAAGGGCUGGAUGCUGUUUUUAAUCCUCUAAAUCUCUCCUACAGAACAGGUAUUCCACCAGGGAUUCUGUCAAUACUUACACAACAGGAUGAGAAGGAUUUUGAUGAAAGAUGCAUGUAAAAUUUCUCCAUAUUCUGUAAAAUCUCUGGAUAAUUUAUUCCUAAAGGAAAGUGACAUCACCACCCUCAA